rnacentral:misc_RNA from 1 species
AAGUUCUCAACCACAUCUUUGUUGAUGUGGCUUGGAUAGGUGGGGGCUUCAUAUUUGCAGGCUUUUGAAAAGAAGUCUGCUCCCCUGAAAUGAAUUAGUGGUAUCUACGCAGAGACUACUAUAGGUGUGAUAAACUAUCUAUGCCUUGGUAUAUACUGUACAAACUGCUUCUAACAACCAAAAGUUGACCA